rnacentral:rRNA from 1 species
CCUGCCGGCGAGUGGCGAACGGGUGAGUAAUACAUCGGAACGUGCCCUGUAGUGGGGGAUAACUAGUCGAAAGACUAGCUAAUACCGCAUACGACCUGAGGGUGAAAGUGGGGGACCGCAAGGCCUCAUGCUAUAGGAGCGGCCGAUGUCUGAUUAGCUAGUUGGUGGGGUAAAGGCCCACCAAGGCGACGAUCAGUAGCUGGUCUGAGAGGACGAUCAGCCACACUGGGACUGAGACACGGCCCAGACUCCUACGGGAGGCAGCAGUGGGGAAUUUUGGACAAUGGGGGCAACCCUGAUCCAGCAAUGCCGCGUGUGUGAAGAAGGCCUUCGGGUUGUAAAGCACUUUUGUCCGGAAAGAAAUCGCACUGGUUAAUACCUGGUGUGGAUGACGGUACCGGAAGAAUAAGGACCGGCUAACUACGUGCCAGCAGCCGCGGUAAUACGUAGGGUCCAAGCGUUAAUCGGAAUUACUGGGCGUAAAGCGUGCGCAGGCGGUUGUGCAAGACCGAUGUGAAAUCCCCGGGCUUAACCUGGGAAUUGCAUUGGUGACUGCACGGCUAGAGUGUGUCAGAGGGAGGUAGAAUUCCACGUGUAGCAGUGAAAUGCGUAGAGAUGUGGAGGAAUACCGAUGGCGAAGGCAGCCUCCUGGGAUAACACUGACGCUCAUGCACGAAAGCGUGGGGAGCAAACAGGAUUAGAUACCCUGG